rnacentral:rRNA from 1 species
AUUGAACGCUGGCGGCAGGCCUAACACAUGCGAGUCGAGCGGAUGAAGGGAGCUUGCUCCUGGAUUCAGCGGCGGACGGGUGAGUAAUGCCUAGGAAUCUGCCUGGUAGUGGGGGAUAACGUCCGGAAACGGGCGCUAAUACCGCAUACGUCCUGAGGGAGAAAGUGGGGGAUCUUCGGACCUCACGCUAUCAGAUGAGCCUAGGUCGGAUUAGCUAGUUGGUGGGGUAAAGGCCUACCAAGGCGACGAUCCGUAACUGGUCUGAGAGGAUGAUCAGUCACACUGGAACUGAGACACGGUCCAGACUCCUACGGGAGGCAGCAGUGGGGAAUAUUGGACAAUGGACGAAAGCCUGAUCCAGCCAUGCCGCGUGUGUGAAGAAGGUCUUCGGAUUGUAAAGCACUUUAAGUUGGGAGGAAGGGCAGUAAGUUAAUACCUUGCUGUUUUGACGUUACCAACAGAAUAAGCACCGGCUAACUUCGUG